rnacentral:rRNA from 1 species
AGUGAACGCUGGCGGCAGGCCUAAUACAUGCAAGUCGAACGGCCGCACAGUAAGAGCUCGCCCCUACGGGUGGCGAGUGGCGGACGGGUGAGGAAUACAUCGGAUUCCACUUUUACGUGGGUGACUACGUAGGGAAACUUAUGCUACCGCCUAAUACGUUCUACGGGUGAAAGCAGGAGUUCUUGGGACUUUGCCCGUCACAUUGAGCCGAUGUCGGAUUAGCUAGUUGGCGGGGUAAGGGCACACCAAGGCAACGAUCCGUAGCUGGUCUGAGAGGAUGAUCAGCCACACUGGAACUGAGACACGGUCCAGACUCCUACGGGAGGCAGCAGUAGGGAAUCUUGGACAAUGGGCGCAAGCCUGAUCGAGCCAUGCCGCGUGAGUGAUGAAGGUCUUCGGGUUGUAAAACUCUUUUAUUAGGGAAGAACAGAUGCGUAAGUAACUCUCGCUGUUUUGACGGUACCCAAAGAGAAAGCCCCGGCUAACUUCGUG